GAACAGAAAUUCCUCUCUCUCGUCUGUUUCUACAAGGAUUAACCUCUAGAGCCAGCAGUUUGAGCUCAGUAUUGCUUCAUUUUGCUUGCUGUUAAAGAUACAAAUAGAAUUAACUUGUUUAGAUUUUAGAAAAGAAAAGAAAAGAAACUACUCUUUGUUCUCAUAUUAACAUCACCUAUAAAACUGUCAUUUCUCCGGGCUGUUUUUUGGCGUAUGACUUUGCCAUAACUAUCCCUUCAGGCACCUCCAUGGGUGUCAUGUGAACUCUGGCAGAUUUCCGUAUUUGUUAGAACUUCUGGAAGACAUCAUCAAGUAGAAACCUUUCACCUCACUUUCCAACAACUGUCUAGGACCACUUCGCUUCACGUUGACUCCUCAACAUAGCACAUGAGGAUCACCUCCCAGGACGCCACCUCAGCAUGGCCUGACGAGCGGUGCCAUGUGCUCACCCAGGACCCAAACCAGCGAAACCCUGGGCCACCAAAGCGGAGUGCAGGAACUUAAGCACUCAGCCACGGGGCCAGCCCCAGUUGGUCUACUGGAGAUCGCUUACUUAACAAACGGAUAGCACAGCCUCAGAGUCAUCAGAUACAACAUCAAAUUCCAACAUAUUAAAAAAGGAAAGAAUACAUGUGACGGAAAUUACCUUUGCUUACAAAAACUUGUUACAUACAAUCUGCAUAUUUUUAUUGGACCAAGAACUGUACUCUCCAUUUACAAAACCCAGAGAGAAACCUGCUAAAGCAAAGCAAAUUGAGUCUGCAGUUUUCACCAAGAGGUUGAAGGACUCUUCCACGCCAAGAGCAGUGCUCCUGACGAUGAAGACGUGGAGAGGGUGCGGAGGGUGGCUGAGCACUGCAUUAAAAAAAGGAAGACAUCCUGCAAUAUGCGACAACGUUGAUGAAGGGGGACGUGAUGCUCAGUGAAAUAAUCCAGUCACAGAAGCACAAAGGCUGCGUGAUUCCACGUGUAUGAUGCUUUCCUCAAGGUGUCAGGAAGCCCUUGCCUCUGUGCCUUUCUCACUUAUAAGGUUCUUCUGACGUUCAAAUAUGAUGGCAUCUCUGGUCUCACAGCCUGUCUGCCAUCAUGCUUUGUUUUAUGGGAAAAUAGCCCUUCGUGCCUGGCUCGUCCGUGAAAGAACAUGGAUUGUUCCUGAAGGAAACCAGAAUACGUGACCCCAAAAUAUGCCACCUUGACACAGUGGUUAAUUUGCAUUAAAGGCACUUGAGAAACAGUUGGUGCAAGAAGGCCACUCUGACGCCCCUUUGUCCUCCUGCGACUUCCCUGCGGCAUGUCCCCUCCCAGUGCCGGGACAAGGGAGGCAUCCUCACCGCCAGACACAGGGACUGGGGCCGAGGAAUCUGUGCAAACGAACCUUGCGAAACUCACCCUUAGCUGCCCAGUUCCAUCCUCAUGAUUUACUGCCCCAACCCAAACUCCUUUGUCUUGCCAAUUUUUCACAAAUUUCUUGUUUCUUUGUCUAAAAGAUAUAAAAGCUUCCUGCUCUGGUUGAGUUUUGU
rnacentral:lncRNA from 1 species